rnacentral:rRNA from 1 species
GAUGAACGCUGGCGGCGUGCCUAAUACAUGCAAGUCGAGCGAACAGACGAGGAGCUUGCUCCUCUGACGUUAGCGGCGGACGGGUGAGUAACACGUGGAUAACCUACCUAUAAGACUGGGAUAACUUCGGGAAACCGGAGCUAAUACCGGAUAAUAUAUUGAACUGCAUGGUUCAAUAGUGAAAGACGGUUUUGCUGUCAUUUAUAGAUGGAUCCGCGCCGCAUUAGCUAGUUGGUAAGGUAACGGCUUACCAAGGCAACGAUGCGUAGCCGACCUGAGAGGGUGAUCGGCCACACUGGAACUGAGACACGGUCCAGACUCCUACGGGAGGCAGAAGUAGGGAAUCUUCCGAAAUGGGCGAAAGCGUGACGGAGCAACGCCGCGUGAGUGAUGAAGGUCUUCGGAUCGUAAAACUCUGUUAUUAGGGAAGAACAAAUGUGUAAGUAACUAUGCACGUCUUGACGGUACCUAAUCAGAAAGCCACGGCUAACUACGUG